GACGAACGCUGGCGGCGUGCUUAACACAUGCAAGUCGAACGGAAAGGCCCUGCUUUUGUGGGGUGCUCGAGUGGCGAACGGGUGAGUAACACGUGAGUAACCUGCCCUUGACUUUGGGGUAACUUCAGGAAACUGGGGCUAAUACCGGAUAGGAGCUCCUGCUGCAUGGUGGGGGUUGGAAAGUUUCGGCGGUUGGGGAUGGACUCGCGGCUUAUCAGCUUGUUGGUGGGGUAGUGGCUUACCAAGGCUUUGACGGGUAGCCGGCCUGAGAGGGUGACCGGCCGCAUUGGGACUGAGAUACGGCCCAGACUCCUACGGGAGGCAGCAGUGGGGAAUAUUGCACAAUGGGCGGAAGCCUGAUGCAGCAACGCCGCGUGCGGGAUGACGGCCUUCGGGUUGUAAACCGCUUUCGCCUGUGACGAAGCGUGAGUGACGGUAAUGGGUAAAGAAGCACCGGCUAACUACGUG
rnacentral:rRNA from 1 species